CCUACGGGAGGCAGCAGUGGGGAAUAUUGGACAAUGGGCGCAAGCCUGAUCCAGCCAUGCCGCGUGGGUGAAGAAGGCCUUCGGGUUGUAAAGCCCUUUUGUCCGGAAAGAAAAGCAUUCGGUUAAUACCCGGGUGUGAUGACGGUACCGGAAGAAUAAGCACCGGCUAACUUCGUGCCAGCAGCCGCGGUAAUACGAAGGGUGCAAGCGUUACUCGGAAUUACUGGGCGUAAAGCGUGCGUAGGUGGUUCGUUAAGUCUGUCGUGAAAUCCCCGGGCUCAACCUGGGAAUGGCGAUGGAUACUGGCGGGCUAGAGUGCGGUAGAGGAGAGUGGAAUUCCCGGUGUAGCAGUGAAAUGCGUAGAGAUCGGGAGGAACAUCAGUUGCGAAGGCGGCUCUCUGGACCAGCACUGACACUGAGGCACGAAAGCGUGGGGAGCAAACAGGAUUAGAUACCCUGGUAGUCCACGCCCUAAACGAUGCGAACUGGACGUUGGAUGCAACUAGGCAUUCAGUGUCGAAGCUAACGCGUUAAGUUCGCCGCCUGGGGAGUACGGUCGCAAGACUGAAACUCAAAGGAAUUGACGG
rnacentral:rRNA from 1 species